UGGGGAAUUUUGCGCAAUGGGGGAAACCCUGACGCAGCAACGCCGCGUGAGUGAUGAAGGCCUUCGGGUCGUAAAGCUCUGUCAGAGGGGAAGAAAUGCAGGGGUGCUAACAUCAUCUUUGCUUGACGGUACCCUCAAAGGAAGCACCGGCUAACUCCGUGCCAGCAGCCGCGGUAAUACGGAGGGUGCGAGCGUUGUUCGGAAUUAUUGGGCGUAAAGCGCGUGUAGGCGGUUUGAUAAGUCUGAUGUGAAAGCCCCGGGCUCAACCUGGGAAGUGCAUUGGAAACUGUCAGACUUGAAUACGGGAGAGGGUAGUGGAAUUCCUGGUGUAGGAGUGAAAUCCGUAGAUAUUAGGAGGAACACCGGUGGCGAAGGCGGCUACCUGGACCGAUAUUGACGCUGAGACGCGAAAGCGUGGGGAGCAAACAG
rnacentral:rRNA from 1 species